rnacentral:rRNA from 1 species
AUUGAACGCUGGCGGCAUGCUUUACACAUGCAAGUCGAACGGUAACAGGCCUUCGGGUGCUGACGAGUGGCGAACGGGUGAGUAAUGCAUCGGAACGUGCCCAGAGGUGGGGGAUAACGCAGCGAAAGCUGUGCUAAUACCGCAUGUGAUCUGAGGAUGAAAGCGGGGGACCAGGCAGCAAUGUUUGGCCUCGCGCCUUUGGAGCGGCCGAUGUCAGAUUAGGUAGUUGGUGGGGUAAAGGCCUACCAAGCCGACGAUCUGUAGCUGGUCUGAGAGGACGACCAGCCACACUGGGACUGAGACACGGCCCAGACUCCUACGGGAGGCAGCAGUGGGGAAUUUUGGACAAUGGGCGCAAGCCUGAUCCAGCGAUGCCGCGUGCGGGAAGAAGGCCUUCGGGUUGUAAACCGCUUUUGUACGGAACGAAAAGGCUCUGGCUAAUACCUGGGGCUGAUGACGGUACCGUAAGAAUAAGCACCGGCUAACUACGUG